rnacentral:rRNA from 1 species
CAGCCUACGGGAGGCAGCAGUGGGGAAUAUUGCACAAUGGGGGAAACCCUGAUGCAGCGACGCCGCGUGAGCGAAGAAGUAUUUCGGUAUGUAAAGCUCUAUCAGCAGGGAAGAAAAAUGACGGUACCUGAGUAAGAAGCACCGGCUAAAUACGUGCCAGCAGCCGCGGUAAUACGUAUGGUGCAAGCGUUAUCCGGAUUUACUGGGUGCAAAGGGAGCGCAGGCGGUGCGGCAAGGCUGAUGGGAAAGCCCGGGGCUCAACCCCGGGACUGCCUUGGAAACUAACGAACUAGAGUGCCGG